rnacentral:lncRNA from 1 species
GUGUUCAUAGGAGGAUGGCGGACGUUUUGCAGCAUGUUCUUCUAACCAUGGUCAUUGCAGGGUUCCUAGUCUGUGGUUCCGGGGCCUGGUACGUCAAAAUGCCGAGCCACAUCAAAGCCCUGUGGAAGUCCUGUCUGGUGAUCCCCUGCAGCUUUGACUACCACCAGUCCCCCCCCAAGGUCCCAGGCCGUGUUGUGUGGUACCAGUACGCCCGGUCCGGCUACCCUCUGGUCUACGAUGCUUGGUACAAUAGGAAGGUCAUUUCAAAGUUCUCCGGGAAGACCAGUCUCGUGCGUCACGGGCCCCGGGACUGCAGCCUCCAGAUCUCCCGAGUGGACAGCAGCCUCCACAUGGAGAAGAUCUACACCUGGGUGGACCCGGAGAACGUGGGGUGGAAAACCUACAAGUUCUACGACACCACCGUCACCAUCCAAGUGGAGCAGACAGCCGAGCCCCCAAAGAUUAGUAUCUACGGGGAGAUGAAGGUCGGCCAGUCAGUGACUGUCCAGUGCAGUGUGGUCCACACCUGUCCCACCUUCCCUCCCACCCUGAAACUCAACAUCGGAUCCGAGGGGUCCAAAGUGGCCACCGAGUUGCUGCUGGACGGCACGGCCCGGACCACCCUCACCGUCUCCCUGCACAUCCAGAGCGACCAGCAGAGAGUGGGCUGCUCCGUCCGCCAUCAUGGAGGUCUGGAAGCCGCGGCGUCUGGUAGCGUUGAAGCGGAGUGCUCCUUCCAGCCUCUGCGCAUCGUGCCGCCGUCAGACCGGAUGUUUCCAGAGGGAAAGGUGAGCAGUGUCUCCUGUUCCGUGGAGUACAGCUGCCCCAAACACGUGCCCACCCUCACCUGGAACUAUCGGUCCAUGC